UACGAAGGGGGCUAGCGUUGCUCGGAAUCACUGGGCGUAAAGGGUGCGUAGGCGGGUCUUAAGUCAGGGGUGAAAUCCUGCGGCUUAACCGCAGGGCUGCCUUCUAAACUGUCAGGCUCGAGCACAGUAGAGGCAGGUGGAAUUCCCGGUGUAGCGGUGGAAUGCGUAGAUAUCAGGAGGAACACCGGUGGUGCAGACGGCUCUCUGGACCGUAACUGACGCUGAGACACGAAAGCGUGGGUAGCAAACAGGG
rnacentral:rRNA from 1 species